rnacentral:rRNA from 1 species
UACAUAUGGGGCAAGCGUUGUUCGGAAUUACUGGGCAUAAAGGGUGCGUAGGUGGUCUAUUAAGUCAGGGGUGAAAUCCUGGAGCUCAACUCCAGAACUGCCUUUGAUACUGAGGAUCUUGAGUUCGGGAGAGGUGAGUGGAACUGCGAGUGUAGAGGUGAAAUUCGUAGAUAUUCGCAAGAACACCAGUGGCGAAGGCGGCUCACUGGCCCGAUACUGACGCUGAGGCACGAAAGCGUGGGGAGCAAACAGG